rnacentral:rRNA from 1 species
CCUACGGGCGGCUGCAGUGAGGAAUAUUGGUCAAUGGACGAGAGUCUGAACCAGCCAAGUAGCGUGAAGGAUGACUGCCCUAUGGGUUGUAAACUUCUUUUAUAUGGGACUAAAAUGUUCCACGUGUGGGAGUUUGUAUGUACCAUAUGAAUAAGAAUCGGCUAACUCCGUGCCAGCAGCCGCGGUAAUACGGGGGAGCAGAGCGUUAUCCGGAUUUAUGGGGUUUAAAGGGGGCGUAGGUGGAUUGUUAAGUCAGUUGUGAAAGUUUGCGGCUAAACCGUAAAAUUGCAGUUGAAACUGGCAGUCUUGAGUACAGUAGAGGUGGGCGGAAUUCGUGGUGUAGCGGUGAAAUGCUUAGAUAUCACGAAGAACUCCGAUUGCGAAGGCAGUUCACUGGACCGCAACUGACACUGAGGCUCGAAAGUGUGGGUAUCAAACAGGAUUAGAUACCCCUGUAGUC